AAUCAACGCUGGCGGCGUGCCUCAAACAUGCAAGUCGAACGAUUAAGACUUCCUUCGGGAAGUGUAUAAAGUGGCGCACGGGUGAGUAACACGUAAGUAAUCUGCCUUCGAGUGGGGAAUACCUUCGGGAAACCGAAGAUAAUACCGCAUAAUGCAGCGGCACCGCAAGGUGACAGUUGUUAAAGGAGCAAUCCGCUUGAAGAGGAGCUUGCGGCAGAUUAGCUAGUUGGUAAGGUAACGGCUUACCAAGGCUACGAUCUGUAUCCGGUCUAAGAGGACGGUCGGACACACUGACACUGAAUAACGGGUCAGACUCCUACGGGAGGCAGCAGUCGGGAAUUUUGGGCAAUGGGCGAAAGCCUGACCCAGCAACGCCGCGGGAAGGAUGAAGUAUUUCGGUAUGUAAACUUCGAAAGAAUGGGAAGAAUAAAUGACGGUACCAUUUAUAAGGUCCGGCUAACUACGUGCCAGCAGCCGCCGUAAAAC
rnacentral:rRNA from 1 species